GUAAACAAAUGUGACUAGCGCGGCACGAAAAUACUAUCGGCAUGGCCUAUCGUGUACUGCACUAGUUCAUUUCAUUUUUGUGCGGCUUAAGAUACAUACCACUUCAGCCCUGUGAGAAAAUUUUUGCGUCUAAAAUUGAGAGAGCAAAACAAAAUCGCAAACAAGUUUUGUGCCACCAUUUUUGUUGUUCUGACGCUUGGCGUGCCCCAUGUCAAUGUGUAUUAUUUGCGUGUAUGUAUGUACUCCUCAAAACAUGCACACAGUUUUGCGAAAUAUAUACAAACUGUGAUUGUUUGUUUAAAGAUUCACGUUACGUCGUCAAAGAAACAUUAAAAUGGAUGCAGAUACAGAAGAAGAGUGGGCCAGUAGCAGCAGCAACAGAUCCAGUUCCAGUGAUGUAAUAAAAAACCUACUGGAAGUCGCCAAUAGCAGGCCAGGCACCAAUGUGGCCAAGGCAAUCGCUGCGUACCAAGAUUUUCCUGGGCUAUCAACGCUGCUUCUGCUCCUGGAGGAGGUAUCGAAAAAUACAGAUUUUUCAACCGAUAUGCGCUUGUCGCUUUCCUAUUACAUGGAUGAAUUUUUGCGGCAAGUAUCCGGUGCGAGUGUGCCCCGACGCUCGGUUAUUGCCGCCGCCGGCAGCGUGCUUCAAUACUGCAGCAAAAUCUAUGGCGACAGGGUGGAGCUCAUGUACCAGGUUGUGGAGCAUCAGAUCGAGGCGCUGCUCAUAGCCGAUCCCAAAAAGGAUGAGAACAGCAAUCGCAAAAGAGAUGCUAGCAAGCCGGAGGAGCCGCGAAAGCGUCGCAUUAAGAAACUCACCCAAAAGGAAUUCGAUCCGUUUUCGUAUAAGAUGGAACCAAAAAAGUUCAAAAUAAUGUCCGAUGAGAAGCGCUUCAGUCGCGUUGGAUUCGAAACGAAUAUAAACAGAAAUCGUACAAUUGAGCACAUGUAUCAGGAUCAUACGCCGUCCCAUCUUUGGAAGCAUGCUUCCAUCGUGGAUCCAGCGAAUCCCUACGAGCAGGAUGAGAAAAAGAACUAUAAGGUGUUUACAUACCAUCCGGAGCCCAGAUACAAUACGCUUCUGCCAGACAUUCAGUUUGAUCGUCUGAAUUUGAUCAAAGAAUACGUGCACUCAAAUCAAGUUGAUGUAUCCGACACUCUUAAUAAGAACAUGACUAAUAAGGAAUAUUUAGAUGAGUACAUAGCGCUAGAGAACCAAAUGCUUGCCUCUCGCUAUGGGGAAAAAACAGGGCUGAAGCGCACGCUGACUGUCCAAGAGGAUGAACAGGCGAAGCGUUUGCGCUUGGAACUGCAGAAACGUUUGCUGGAAUUCACUGAUGAGAGCUCUAAACGUAGAAGGCUAACUGAAGAGAUGGACGAUAAUCGUGAUGGGAAUUUGGAGACUGAUGAAAGCGGAGCUAAGCGAUCGCAAACCUCUAUGGACUCAGUACUACGCGAAUCGCUGAAAACUUUGACGCUGACAGAUACAUCACAAGUUCAACUUAAUGAAAACAAGAUAGAGGCACUUUCCUUAAGCAGCACGUUGCACAUGAAUGACGCCAGUUGCUUGGACAGCACGCGUUUGGAUCUGCAGCAACUCGAAUCUAUAAAGGAAGAGACGAAGCAGGAAUCACAACAGAAGUCCCAACUGGAACUCUGCACUGGGAAGGGUGAUGAUAGCAAUGAGCAAUCGUUGCAAAUUGAUUCAGGCAUUGGCAUGGAUGAUGUAUGCGAUACUCUGCCGACAGGUCAAUCUUUUGAUGAUGAGGGUGUUGUUCUUACAGAUCUUAUAGACGACCAGCGUCUGCAGUCGCUAUCGCCCAAGGUAAUGGUGCGGGACAUACUGCCCGGUGUGCCCGACAAAGCCAACCUGAGCGUGCGCGUGGACGCCGAAAUGUUGGCUCUGAGCGGCAUCAAUGAAACGCUCGAGGAGAUUGUUGAUGUGCCACGUGAAGUGCACUAUUCAAUCGAGCGGAAUUUGCUGCAGCUACCAGAAAAGAGGCUACGCAAGGGUUCUCUCUUCAAGCUUCCCAAAGAAUUUGAUUUAUUUAAGAAAGCGCGCACACCAGCCAAGCGACAGGCUGAACCCAAGGCGCCCGGUGCUCCCAGAGCCUUGCCUACCGUCUCGCCUGUUGCCUCGCCUACGCAUUCCGUAUCGUCACUUGACAAAUUUCCGGCAUUGCCGUUGGACCAAAUGGAAUUCGAUUCGGAGCUAAAUUUUCGCGGAUUCAGACGCCCUACUUAUGAUUCAGGUAUUGAUCAGGAAGAGAUUAGAUUGGCCAACUCGCCAGCAGAUGACGGCAUCAUCGUUGAUGUGGGCUCCGAAGAACCAUCGGAUUCGAAUGCAUUAGAAAACUCAGCGCUCUCAAAUGUAAUUCAAGAAGCUAGAGAUUCUGAACAAACAGAGAAGGACUUGACGUUGCCUGAAAUUUCAUUGGGCGCAACAGAAUCAAAUGAAACGCAACAAAAUGGUUUACAACAUACACAAGCAGAUGAGAUAAGAGCCCAAGACAUCACCGAAGAGGACAUAAGAAUACCCGAUACCACAGCAGAGAACACAACGCUACUAGAGAGUGGAUUGAAUGCCAUGCCUAUGGAUUUGGCCACAAACGACAUAGAGUUGGACUCAGACUGGGAUGCAGAAGAAAGCGAUUCGAGCGUUCAAGAAAACUGUAAUAGCAUAGAUGCAGAAACUGAUGCCAAGAUUAUUGACUGGCAUCGUCGACUGGCACCCACAUUAGAAGCAGCGCAUGCGCGUCAAAACUUUAGCAUACAGCACCUAAAUGACGAGAUUAUAGCAAAAUGCCAGGAAAAUGAUGGAGAGGCAACACUUGCCGAUGUGAUAGAGGAUAAAGAUCCAACCAAACUAUGUUGCUAUAUGUUGUCCUCGCUACUGCUGACAAACCAGAGGAAUGUGGAGCUUCAAAUCGAUAAACAUGAUAAGAGCAAGCCAAUUGAAAUGAAUCAGUUUAAGAUGAAGUUGAUUAGCACCGAAAGGAAACAAGUGAAUCCCGAGGAUGACAUUGGCAAUAUGGACAUUUCCAAUCAGCGUAACAACCAGGCAGCAUCACACGAAACACCGCAAUCUGCUAACGCCGCCCAUCGCAAGGUGCAAGAGCAACGCCCCACACUUGAUGCAAUUAAUGUAAAAACAGUGCGCCUUAUAAAACCUGUGCCCAAGGCAAGCGCACGGCCAGAGGAUGCUGACUCUGGCAUAUCAUCGCUGCCGGCAUCCUUAAUGUCUGUGUGGCCGACUGACAUGUAGCAGAGGCCGUAGCAAUUGCUGGUGUCUAGUGCUCAAUGUGUGCCUCUGUCUUUAGUUUAUGUAUAUAGUUGAUUAAGUCGCAGGGUUGACGUUCGUAUAUAUGUGUGUACAUUUCGAUUCUCGUCCAGUAACCUUAGAAUGUAUAAUUUUGUCCGAUCAUAUUGCGCCGGGGGCUGCCCUUUUCACAGGCUUACAUCAAAAUUAAGAGGCUGUGCUGGCCGCGCAACUGACAAAUGCAUUACUG
rnacentral:misc_RNA from 1 species